CCUACGGGUGGCAGCAGUGAGGAAUAUUGGUCAAUGGCCGAGAGGCUGAACCAGCCAAGUCGCGUGAGGGAAGACGGCCCUACGGGUUGUAAACCUCAUUUGUCGGGGAGCAAAUAGAGUCACGUGUGACUCAUUGAGAGUACCCGUAGAAAAAGCAUCCGCUAACUCCGUGCCAGCAGCAGCGGUAAUACGGAGGAUGCGAGCGUUAUCCGGGUUUAUUGGGUUUAAGGGGUGCGCAGGCGGAGGUGCAAGUCAGCGGUCAAAUUGCGCGGCUCAACCCCGUACUGCGGUUGAAACUGUAGCCCUUGAGUGCGCGAGAAGUAUGCGGAAUGCGUGGUGUAGCGGUGAAAUGCAUAGAUAUCACGAAGAACUCCGAUUGCGAAGGCAGCAUACCGGCGCGCAACUGACGCUCAUGCACGAAAGCGUGGGUAUCGAACAGGAUUAGAUACCCCUGUAGUC
rnacentral:rRNA from 1 species